ensembl:lncRNA
GUACUACUGCCUGUCCUGUGAAUAUGUCAACAUGAUCAGAGGGAGGGCGGGGAGCCACUGGGGAGCGCGCGCACCGAGUCGCCUCUAGGUGGCUUAUCGAGAGAUCGCCGCAGCCCCGGAGCUCGCUCUCUUGCUCGCUCGCUCUGGCUCAGUCCAUGUCUGAAAUGCCUCAGUCAUCCAGCCCGGGAUCGAGGGAGGAGGCUGGGCAGGAGGGAGCACGCGGGAGGGAGGCGGGCGCUAGCGAGCCUGGCCAGGAAGGCGGAGAGCGCGCCGGGCGCCGGGCAGGGGCGCUCGCCUCUCGCGCGCUCGGCUCGCUUCUCGGGCCGCCGCGGCCGUUUCUCUCUCCCGUUCACCCUUUUAACCCGGUUCCAGGCGAGCCGAGCGGACGGCCCCGGCUCCCGUGAGCUGCCAUCCGGCCGCCGGGCGCGACAAAAGCCGGGCGCCGCGGAGAGGCGAACGCCGCCGAGUCUCCAGGCUUGUGCGCUCUCUCCGGCCCCACGUGGAGCCAAGCUCUUCCCGGCCGCCGCUCAAGGGCUCCCGAGCUCGGGUGUUUCUCGUUGCCGGUCUGCCCGGGCAGCAGGGCUCGCGCGCGGGCUCCCGAGCACGCGGUGCUGCCAGAUCUCAGCCCACGCGAGGGGGCUCUCUCCCCACCGCGCCCCACCCGAAACUAUGCGCGGAGACCCAAACACCCCCAGCACAUUUGUACGCGAACACGCGGCAGUCCACUAGGGCUCAGCCGCGGAAGCCAUAUACACGCAAACACUGACCCAGCCUGCGCGGCAGCCGCGGGUCUGCGCUCAGCUCACUCCGGAGGCGGAUUCGGGCUUUUUUCAAAUGGAUUUACCAGCCCUUUUAGAUAGAUCUCGUCUUCCAUUUGGACUCUGGCUCCCGGUUUUCAACCUGAAUGUGUGUGUGAGACCAGAGAGGGUAUCUGAACAAAGUGAGCACAACGAGGGACUAGGUUCUGGGCCUGUCCUCGUCUAGCCGCCGCCCGCCCCUCGGCGGUCAGCAGGGUGAGGAGCUGCUGGAAUGGGGUGGGCGAGCUAGUGGGCGGAGGUGCUCCAGGCCCGUAUCUUCUCCAGGCAUCGCAAUUAUCUCUUGGUGCCUCAGUUCUUUUCUCCACCCGGAGACUUAUCUCGCCAGAAGUCGGGGGUGAAUUUGUAAAACAAACCGUGAAAUGCCCCCACCCCAGAGGCGAGGUGACUGGCUCCAGUUCAGGUCUGUCUCCUGGCCGGUCUCUCGGCCUCUCUCUGAGGUGGUGGAGCAAGAGCGGCGGGGGUCAGCGUGUCGGCUCACGAUGCCCCCUCCCAGGUCCCUGGCCGCCCGACCCCGGAGGGUGCGAGAAACCCAGGCCUUUCCCCUCUGAUACCGUCCACCGAGGUCACCGCAGGGUUUCCACCAGUCUCCGGAGGCUGAAACCCGCCCUUCCCCCACUCUGCUGGCCGCGGGAGCCUGGGGCCGCACCGCUGCGCUUUCAGCAGCGGCCCCAAACCCGGGGUCUGGUUUUGCCUGCACUCGCCGGCCAACCUCUGCUCCGACGCACCGAAGAGAAGGAAAGUAAUUCUGCAAGCACGAGAUGACCCCCA